GACGAACGCUGGCGGCGUGCUUAACACAUGCAAGUCGAACGGAAAGGCCCUGCUUUUGUGGGGUGCUCGAGUGGCGAACGGGUGAGUAACACGUGAGUAACCUGCCCUUGACUUUGGGAUAACUUCAGGAAACUGGGGCUAAUACCGGAUAGGAGCUCCUGCUGCAUGGUGGGGGUUGGAAAGUUUCGGCGGUUGGGGAUGGACUCGCGGCUUAUCAGCUUGUUGGUGGGGUAGUGGCUUACCAAGGCUUUGACGGGUAGCCGGUCUGAGAGGGUGACCGGCCACAUUGGGACUGAGAUACGGCCCAGACUCCUACGGGAGGCAGCAGUGGGGAAUAUUGCACAAUGGGCGGAAGCCUGAUGCAGCAACGCCGCGUGCGGGAUGACGGCCUUCGGGUUGUAAACCGCUUUCGCCUGCGACGAAGCGUGAGUGACGGUAAUGGGUAAAGAAGCACCGGCUAACUACGUG
rnacentral:rRNA from 1 species